CCCGCCUGUGGACAGCGGAAGGACAUU
rnacentral:rRNA from 1 species